GACGAAGGAUGCAAGCGUUAUCCGGAUUCAUUGGGUUUAAAGGGUGCGUAGGCGGCCAGAUAAGUCAGUGGUGAAAUCCUGUUGCUUAACAACAGAACUGCCAUUGAUACUGUUUGGCUUGAGUAUAGUUGCUGUGGGCGGAAUAUGACAUGUAGUGGUGAAAUACAUAGAGAUGUCAUAGAACACCGAUUGCGAAGGCAGCUCACAAAACUAUAACUGACGCUGAGGCACGAAAGUGCGGGAUCAAACAGGA
rnacentral:rRNA from 1 species